CCACCAGCAACAUCACCAUAACUACCAUCACUACAAUCAACAUCAUAAUCACCACCAACAUACCACCAUUCUCAUCACUGUCAUGGUUGUUGGCAUAACAGUUAACACUUCAGUGCAGUCAUGGGGCAAGCACCUUACAUAUAUCUACCGUGUAAACUAUCACAACAACUGUGUGAGGUUAAGUCCUCUGACUUAACCAAUUUACAGAAGAGGAAACCACAAUAUGUAGAAAUUAAGUACCUUGCUGAACAUCACAGCAGCCAAUCUGCGAUUCCAGUCACGACUUCUUCAUCUGCUUCCUCCCCAAGUGUGAUGCACAGUCCAGAGCAAGAAGCCAACCUUGCUGCUCUCAGCCACCUGGCUUCAUCACAGCAUGACCUUCAACAGGAUUUCAGCCACCUCAUCAAUUAGGGAGCUUCACCCCUAGCUCAGCAACUUCUUUCCCCGAGGUACUUUAGAACCGUAUCAUCUCUGGUCAAAGUAGAAAGUCACAGAGAAGACCCUGGAGAGCUCCAAGCUCAAAGCUACCCUAGAAGUUCGUGACCAGUGAGGAGCAGAAA